AUUGAACGCUAGCGGGAUGCUUUACACAUGCAAGUAGAACGAGUGGCGGACGGGUGAGUAAUAUAUCGGAACGUGCCCAGUAGCGGGGGAUAACGACUCGAAAGAGUGGCUAAUACCGCAGACUAUUGGAGCGGCCUAUACCGGCUUAGCUAGUUGGUGGGGUAAAGGCUCACCAAGGCAACGAUCCGUAGCUGGUUUGAGCGGACGACCAGCCAUACUUGGACUGAGACACGGCCCAGACGCCGACGGGAGGCAGCAGUGGGGAAUUUUGGACAAUGGGGGAAACCCUGCUCCAGCCAUCCCGCGUGUAUGAGAAGGCCUUCGGGUUGUAAAGUCCUUUUGGCAGAGAAGCGGUAUCUGCAGAAUAAGCACCGGCUAACUACGUGACAGCCGCCGCGGUAAUUC
rnacentral:rRNA from 1 species